AUAAAUAAAUGUUUGAUAAAUUUCAACUUUAUUCAAGACGAAACAAUCAUAAAAUCAAUAAUGUCACUUAAACAAGAUUCCUCACCAGGACUAGACCAAAUUACUGUUAAAAUGCUUAAAUCAAAUGUAAAUUCAUUAAUAAGACCACUUUCUCACAACUUUAAUUUAGCCAUCUCAAAGUCUACUUUUCCUGACAGUUUUAAAAUUCCAGUAAUAACUCCUAUUUAUGAAAAAGAUCACAAAUCAAACAUAGAAAAUUAUCCCC